rnacentral:lncRNA from 1 species
AGAGGGCUAGAAACUGACUUUUAUUACCUAAGUUCCUGAGUAAAAAAUCUACUCAAAGAUGAGGGUCUUCGGAUUAGAGGUUUCUCUGGAGAGCGUGACUUGAAAGAGGCAAGGGAGAACCCUCCUCGGGCCACGUGUUCUGCCUUGAUCGGUGUGGUGGUUAUAAAUGGAAAAGUAGACAGCAUAUUUAAAAGACGGUGCUAGUCAGCGUUGUGUUACUGCAAUUAAUACCUGGGAUAAUUAAUUUAUAAAGAAGUAGGGCGCUUGGGAGGGAGGGAGGGAUGGGGAGAGAGAGAGAGAGGAAGGAGGAGAAAAAGAAGGAAGGAAACAUUUACAAAAGAGAGGAGGAAGGAGGAGAAAGAAGGAAAGACGGAAGGAAAAAGAAAAAGAGGAAGUGAGGAAGGAAGGAAGAGGCAGUGUUUUAUGCUCAGUCACUGGAUGAGAUACUCAACAUCCACGCCGUACAGGAGGAGAAGUUUAUUCUGGCUCACAGUCUGUUUUCUGCCCAUACACAGGCGGUUCCAAGGCGGAGUGGUCCUGGUGAAGGGCCCGGGAACGGGAGAGCUGCUCAUCUCAUGGGACCCAGGAAGCUCAGCAAACAGCCCAGAGUCUGCAGGGAGCGAAACCUUUCUAGGCCGCCCCCGUGACCUACGUCUUCCUCCCAGCAAGUCAGCUGUGGCCCCAUAUGAAUAUCUAGAGGUUAUACAAUACCAGCAGUAUUGUCAUGAAGGCCAUUUUCCAAAACUGCAGAAAACUGUGAAAAUAUAAUUUAAGUAAUACUUUCAACUAGAGAAAAAUAAGAAAAGCCAAAUUAAAAGGAGAAAUGUUGAGUAGCACUGGAAGGUUCUGGCUUAGGAAUCAGAAGGGUAAGGAGCCAAUAAUUGUGACUCAAACCAGAAUCAUGACUUGGGACAACACUGUUGACAACACUCCUGAGCUUUGGUUUGUACCUUGGUGAGUUGUGAAUUAUAUGUUCCUAUGGGAGAAAGGACUAAGUUUCUCCAUGCAAAGUGCUACAGGCACAUACGAGUGACCAGCACAUCUAACUGCUCUGUUUGUGAGGAGCAUUACUACUGUUGUUUUCAUCAUAAACUUCCACAACCCUGCUGUGUAAGACAUCAAGGUUUAUCUCUCCAUUUUUUUUUUUUUCUGGUACUGGGGAUCGAAUUCAGGUCCUUUAUACUGUAUUUUUGGCAGAA